rnacentral:rRNA from 1 species
UACGGAGGUGGCGAGCGUUAUUCGGAAUUAUUGGGCGUAAAGGGCGCGUAGGCGGCCUUGCAAGUCAAAGGUGAAAUCCCUCGGCUCAACUGAGGAACUGCCUUUGAAACUGCAAGGCUUGAGGCCGGGAGGGGGUAGCGGAAUUCCCAGUGUAGCGGUGAAAUGCGUAGAUAUUGGGAGGAACACCAGUGGCGAAGGCGGCUACCUGGACCGGUUCUGACGCUGAUGCGCGAAAGCGUGGGUAGCAAACAGG